rnacentral:rRNA from 1 species
AGUGAACGCUGGCGGUAGGCCUAACACAUGCAAGUCGAACGGCAGCACAGAGGAGCUUGCUCCUUGGGUGGCGAGUGGCGGACGGGUGAGGAAUACAUCGGAAUCUACUCUGUCGUGGGGGAUAACGUAGGGAAACUUACGCUAAUACCGCAUACGACCUACGGGUGAAAGCAGGGGAUCUUCGGACCUUGCGCGAUUGAAUGAGCCGAUGUCGGAUUAGCUAGUUGGCGGGGUAAAGGCCCACCAAGGCGACGAUCCGUAGCUGGUCUGAUAGGAGGAUCAGCCACACUGGAACUGAGAAACGGUCCAGACUCCUACGGGAGGCAGCAGUGGGGAAUAUUGGACAAUGGGCGCAAGCCUGAUACAGCCAUACCGCGUGGGUGAAGAAGGCCUUCGGGUUGUAAAGCCCUUUUGUUGGGAAAGAAAUCCAUCUGGUUAAUACCCGGGUGGGAUGACGGUACCCAAAGAAUAAGCACCGGCUAACUUCGUGCCAGCCGCCGCCGUAA